GAAGUCAUAGUAUGAUUAUACCUACUGUAUAUCGAACAAAACUAAACAAACAUAUUACAAUUAUUACUUACUGUGCAAAUUGUUCUUUCUACAUAAUGGGACCACGAUAAAUCCACAUAUAAAAAUUACUGCAGUCUAUCUGAUAUGUAGGUAACUAAGAAAACAUCUUUGGCGCCAUCUGUAAUACUAGAGACAAGUUUAAUGGACGCUUUCAAGAAUUGAAUACUUGCGCCGUCUAUGUCACGUGACUAAAUUCGAAGUAGAGAUUAUUAUGGAACUAAACAUAGGAAGGAUAACAUCGAAUUAGAGAAGUCAGAGACAAUUACAAUUUUAUGAGCCUUUUAGAGAUUUUAUUAGAAUUUGAAUGAUAGAGGGAAAGAAAGGAAAGAAGAAAAAAGAAAAGAGAAAACGAAGGAAGAAAGCCAUUGGAGAAAAGAAAAUUAUUAAAGAUCGAUAUUCAGGAUAUGGAUCAUAAAGAUUUUAAUCCGAUCAAUCCGAUCCGUUGUUUGAGAAUACAUAAAGAUAAUAUUAACGUUAUACAUACCAAUGUAUCUCAAUGUCUCAGUUAAUAUUUUUGAUGAUCCCGUUUUUUUUCUCAACUAUAUCAAAUUCCAUGAGAAAACGAAAAAAAGAAGAAGAUGAAGAAAAAGAAAAAAGAGAAAAAAAAAAAGAAGGGUCGAUCUCGCAUUGUUCUCUCUUUCUCUUUCUCUCUCCCAGAAAGGGAUUAUUGGAUCGAGCUACGUAACAGAUAUACAGAGUGGACCGUAAGUACUUCUUCUUAAUAAGAUUUUCAAAAAAUAAUCAAUUUUAGAUUUAUUAGAUUUA